CCUGCACCUGUAUUUUGUAUUUCAUUGGUGGUUUUUGCAGAAGAUCUUCUUGGAUACUACUAGAGAACUUGCAAAACACACAAACAAUCUAGUCGAUGAGGUCUGGAAUUACAUGAAAGAUGGAAAACUUAUCCAUUCUGCAGUUCUGCUCCUGGCAGCUCAAGAUCAUAUCCGCUCUGGAUCAUCCUGCAGAAAAGUUGGUGGUAAUAAGCUAGAUGGUUUUGCUACUAUCUUUGCUCGUAUCCAUCACUCUAUGGCCUUAGAAUGGCAGAUGCAUCAGAAUGGACAAGCUAAGCUUAAACUUUUGUUGUCUUCAUCGUUGCUUGUUAAUAUAAUCUUCCGAGCCGGUGAAGCACUUGAUGCAUACAUUCGAGAGCACUCUAUGUUAUCCUCUCUUGGGGCAUCUGCAGUUUCAACUAAUUUGUUCAUGUUAUUUGCUGUUUAUAUAUUGCUUUUCUUUCUUUGAACCUCUCUUCUCCCUUUUGUUUUUAUGUAAAAGUUGGAAAAUGCCAUGCAGGUGCCACAUACAGAGGUCCUUGAACAUGUUUCAUUGAUCCUAAAGGGUUUUGAUUUCUGUCCCACUGGAGAAGGCAUUGACGUUGGAAACAUCUGCCCUUACACAUUACCGAUGCCCAACAAGGAGGUACCUGACAAAUCUGGGAGCUCGGUUGCAAGCAAGGCAACUACAGAUGUGCCUUAUCUGCUUGCUGUAAAGAAAAAGGCUAUGAGAAAGAAGAAACCACCCCAUGGAUGGGAGGACAGAUGCAAACUCCUAAGUUAUCUUCCAUUUUGGAGAACAGUACUGUCGGUCCCAUGGUGUCCUGCGAAGAAUUUACCAAGCCAUAGAUUAGAGGAUCAGGACAAGCAUCUCUGCCAGAUCAACAAUCAUCGGCGUAAGUUAAGAGAGGAACGGCGUAAGUUAAGAGAGGAAGCAUCUUCUGCAACUCCAAACCAUAAUCUUGGUUUGUUUGGAAGGAUUCCACACUUGAGUAUUUAUCAACCAAGAAGAUUAUUCGCUAGUGCUGCAUUGACGCUUAUCAAGGUGUUAAGGAAUGCAUGAGUAGAAAAGGUGCUUGGGAAAAUUUCAUAUAUAAUUAUCCCCGGCAGCCUCAAGUUUAUAGUUAAUUGGUGAAUCUUUUAUUCAAGGAUGCUGCCAGUUCAGUGGUUGGGGCUAUGACUUUUGUUGUGCCAUGUACUAAGCAUCGUAGCCAUGAUUGUGUUGUGCUGUGACAUGUUUCACGGUGCUCUCCUGAACAGGCCGGCUGCUUAGUAUUUAUGUCUGGCACAUAUAACAAGCUCACUGUCACGUUCGACCUUUUCUUUUGGCACGCUUGACUACCUGUAGCCCCAUCGGAUGAAAACAUUAUCCUGUUGUAAUUUUGUGAUUAAGGAUUAUUAAGGCGCGACUAGCAGUUUAGCACCAUAA